rnacentral:rRNA from 1 species
CACGUAGGGGCCAAGCGUUGUCCGGAUUCAUUGGGCGUAAAGAGCUCGUAGGCGGUUCAGUCAGUCGGGUGUGAAAUCUCCGGGCUCAACCCGGAGGGGCCACCCGAUACUGCUGUGACUCGAGUCCGGUAGGGGAGUGGGGAAUUCCUGGUGUAGCGGUGAAAUGCGCAGAUAUCAGGAGGAACACCGGUGGCGAAGGCGCCACUCUGGGCCGGUACUGACGCUGAGGAGCGAAAGCGUGGGUAGCAAACAGG